GGAAACAAAGAGGUCUCACCAUAUAACUUUGACAAGCAUUGAUUUCGGACUGCGAAGGACAGAGAUUUGUGGUGUUUCCACGUGAAGAUGUUGCUGAUGAAAUAAGGCACAGAUGGAUACAGCAUCACCAUCCCCAAACAAGCCCUAGUCGCCAUAAUUAUGCGACAACUACACACAGAUCAUAAUUACUCGAUUGGGUAUCAAAUUCCCCAAGACGCAGCAGAUGUUCGAUGAAAAUCCCAAGAGAAGAGAAACACUGUGCUUAAUCAUGAUUUUGGGGGAAAUUUUGUUUUGCAAGGGGCCUAGAAUGAUCCAAAGAUGGAGCCCAGGAGAGGCAAGUUGAAGAAUGCCGAAACAGGCAAGAGGAAUGUAAAGGGGCCUCAGUUGUCUGAAAUCCAAACAGAGAAUAAGCCAAGUGAUGUAAAAAAUUGGUAGGGAACCAUGGCAGAAUAGCAACAAGCCAAUAGGUAAGGCCACCAGAUAUCCCCAUUGAGGUAACAUGAUGCCUAAUAAUCUUGAUUACUUGUUGUGAUAUUAAUCAAUAUUUGUUCCUAAUUUAUGCCUAAAUCUUGAAUAUUGGUCGUGAAAAUUCGGGGAUUGGAAAGCAAAUUUAAUGAAAUAAAAAUUGAAUCUUGGUGUUUUAGGAGGAGAGCGACAGCAGCAAAAAAAGGGGGUGAGAAAAUGAGCGUGUAUGUGACUACAUAUCCAAUUUAAGCCUGUACAAGAAGCCAAAAACACAGUUGGAUUGAGUGUGUAAUUCACAUGAAAGGCUGCUCUUGGUUGAUGGCAAGACAGAAAUUAAAGGUGUUUGAUAAAUAAAAAUGGUUGUAAACCAAAAGAGGGCCUCAUGGAGCUAUAUGCUAUCAUUGGGUUUAUACAUUCUUUGCCAUUUGUGUGAGUGGGCCUUAUCUGUAUCCUCAUUUCAAAAGCAGCUUUAUAUUUAUGAAGCAGACAGGGGAGUAAGUAAAGAAUAGGGAGAUUUCCGGGCAUGAGGUGUUAUGAGUGUGCAAACAAAGUAUCUUCCAAUUUAAAAGAGGUCUAAACCUCUGGCCCUGUCUGUGGGAGAGAGAGAGAAGAGCUAUGUUUUUAUAAGUGAGGUUAGUUCACCUGUAAAGUGGCUCCUGGUAAUAAAGGCCAGAGAAUUUAUUGUGCAGAGACAGCUAAGCAGUACCUUUCCCCUCUCCAAUGAUGAAGCUGGUUUUGUUGCAUGAAGGAGUCAAUAGAUAAAGGGGGCCAUAGCCAGUCAAGAAGAUUGCGGAUUGCCCAAUACCAAAUUCAAGAUAUUCAAUUCUCUCCAUAAAUAUAUUGCCUUGUUGCUGCUAAGCUGAAAUGGAUCCUCCUAAAAUAGGCAGCGAGGAAUGCAGCAGCAGCGAAUCCGGCUGGACGACAUACAUAGCCUCACCCGACCUCGAGCACGACUAUGCUGAUCACAACGAAGACGAAGAUGAUGAGGACGACGCCACCAUAGCCGAAAGGGUUAAAAAAAGUCGAGCAAGAAGAAGCAGCAGCGGAUAGCGAUGACUCCAUGGCUUCCGAUGCAUCCUCUGGUCCUAGCGAUCAAUAUGGAUAUCUCGGGAGAAGCCACCAUGCAGGGACCAAUAAUCAAAGAAACUCGGCUGCCAAGAAACACCAAGGGAAGAAGAAACAGAUAAAACAAGAAAAGGACAAAUCGCCCAACACUGCAGGAAGAUUGAAGAAAUUUUAGCCCCACUUGUGUCAAGGUAUAUCCCAGGAAAUAUGCAUACAGUUUUGUACUUGUUGAUUCCAUGUUUAAUGCAAUAUCAUGUAUAAAAAAAUGGGUAUUACAGCUUUUUUCUGGGAUUUUUUUUCGGUUUAUGAUAUGGUCUCACUUGUAAAGUUACGGAGAAUGCAUACACUUUAUCAUGAUUUUGAGGCUUUUCUGC
rnacentral:lncRNA from 1 species